rnacentral:rRNA from 1 species
CCUACGGGAGGCAGCAGUGAGGAAUAUUGCACAAUGGGGGAAAGCCUGAUGCAGCGCCGCCGCGUGAGUGAAGAAGUAUUUAGGUAUGUCAAACUCUAUCAGCAGGGAAGAAAAUGACGGUACCUGAUUAAGAAGCCCCGGCUAACUACGUGCCAGCAACCGCGGUAAUACGUAGGGGGCAAGCGUUAUCCGGAUUUACUGGGUGUAAAGGGAGCGUAGACGGCAGCACAAGUCUGGAGUGAAAUGCCGGGGCUUAACCCUGGAACUGCUUUGGAAACUGUGCAGCUAGAGUGCAGGAGAGGUAAGUGGAAUUCGUAGUGUAGCGGUGAAAUGCGUAGAUAUUAGGAGGAACACCAGUGGCGAAGGCGGCUUACUGGACUGUAACUGACGUUGAGGCUCGAAAGCGUGGGGAGCAAACAGGAUUAGAUACCCCUGUAGUC